rnacentral:snRNA from 1 species
GUGCUCGCUUCGGCAGCACAUAUACUAAAACUGGAACCGUACAGAGAAGAUUAGCGUGGCCCCUGCGCAAGGACACACAAAUUCAUGAAGCGUUCCAUAUUUAA